AAAAAAAAAAAGGACAACGCUUUUGAAUAUUAAUAACAAUGCAUACAGAAAGAAAGGAAGUUUUUGAGAAGAUAAACAAAGAAGGGUAAGGAUGGGUUAAAACUCCUGAAUAAUGUCUAUUGUACACAAACUCAACAAACCCAGAAUAAAAAAAACUCACGCCCUUGUCCAAGAAAUUGUUCCGCAAAAACCAAUCCCAGCAAA
rnacentral:misc_RNA from 1 species